CAGUGAUCAUGACGACUUUAAAGUCCGACCUCAGUUUUUGGGGAGGCAGGGAGAGUCUGGGAUACUGAGCGAAACCAUGGAAGCAUGAAAGAAAGGGACUCCAGGAAGCAGCGUUGACAGACUCUCCUUCAUGCAUCCCACCUCCUCCCCAUCUCCAACUCAGCCAGAGCUAUAUUCAAGGUAUAGUCUUCAUCUUCACCACCACCAGCGUCCAGACUUCUUAUGACAAACCACUAUACUAUGAACAGCAAGACAUCUCCAACAGAAAGAAGCUAAAGGAAGGGCAGACAUCUGCCUUGAAUGGAUAAAGGGUGAGGAAAAAAGAAGAGACAAAAGUGGAGAGACCAGGAACGACAACUGGGAGAAAAGUGAGAGGAAUACAGAGAAAGAUGAAUGAA